CCUGAUCAAGGAUGAUGAGAUUUUUAUUGGUGACUGCUGGAUGAAACUUGCGGAUAUGGGACUGAGAUCAGUG
ensembl:snoRNA